CUUGGGAGAUGUUUUUUAAAGAAAAUGGAACCCCUUUUUCUUUUAAAUAUUCAAAAAUUGAAUAUAGUUCUAGGUAAAAUAUUGAUAAUGACAAAAUUUUAUCUACAUGUCUUGACCAAAUCUUGUGCCAGCAGUCGCGGCAACACAAGGAAGACUAGUGUUAUUCAUCUUAAAUCGGUUUAACGGGUACCUAGACGGUAAAUUAGGCCUUAAUCGGAACAUUUUUACUAGAGUUAUAUAUGCGUGAGGAUGAUAUGUCAGUAUUACCAGAGUAGAGAUAGAAUUUUUUGAUACUGUUAAGACUGGUAAAGGCAAAAGCAAACCUUUAUAUAUUAACUGACGUUGAGGGACGAAGGCUUGGGUAGCAAACAGGAUUAGAUACCCUAAUAGUCCAGGCAGAGAAUUAUGAAUGUCAUAGAUUACAUGGAUUAUAUUAAGAUUAUAACCCACUUAGUAU
rnacentral:rRNA from 1 species